CAACAGAAUCAUCAUCAAUCCAGAGUUCAGAAAACCAAACAUCAAAUCAAACUGAUGUUAGUCAACCUGGAGAACAAAGAUAUGUUAAACAAGACGCAAAGCUCUCACAGAGGAAGACAUUCUAAGAAAUUUGACCAUCUUAAAUCCAGAUUUUAUUGAAGAAAACAGAUCCACAGAAAAUUCAUUAUACCAACAGUAUUAAACUGCACAAAUAGAAACAGGAAUCCACACAUAUUAUGCAUGAAUGAUAUCAACAUGAAUACUGGAACUAUAUAUGACUUUUCUUAUGUUCAUAUGACAAUUUUGGAAGAAAAUGAACUACAUUAUAGUUGUACUUUAUGAACUUUAUGACACCCUUCUUCAACUUGCAACUUUUAAUGACAAUUUUGAUACUGAGAUUGAUGAUGUUAAUAUUCGAUGCUUCCAUAUUCGUCUUUUUGAGGUAGUGAUUGAACCAAUUUUUAUUAAUGUUUUUACUCCAGAAUCCAUUCCACAACCAACUAAAAGUCAAGAAAUUGUUAUUAGAUCUUUAGAACUUCUGGACAGACCUGUUUGUAUUUUGCCAUCAACAUUGAAACCCAAGAAAUUCACUGUAAGAGACGAAAAUGAUACUGAAUCUUGUAAUUUUGUUCACCUAUCCAAAAACCGUUUAAAAUGUCAAUCUGGGGAAUGCAAACAAUAUAGGGAUGCUCUCAAAGAAAGGUAAUAUAUCUAGAAGAAAAACUACCAACAUAUGCCAUGAAGAGGAACAUAAAUGUGCGGUAAGUUAAUCUGGAUAACAUGGAGGAUGACAAUGAUGAUGAAUAC
rnacentral:lncRNA from 1 species